rnacentral:lncRNA from 1 species
UUGCGUGAGCCGAGCUACGAGUGCUCUGAUUCUUCUCUAGUCCGAGAAGAUACGUAUGCAUAGGAUGCGACAUCCUAGCGAGCACAUUUUCCCCUGUCCGAACUACGUCGACUCUGAUGUCUGUGCCUGACAGACUACGUAGGCCCAGGAUGCGAUAUCCUGCCGAGUCAGUUUCUUUUGUUUUCCUGUGUCUCUUUCAGCCAGUGUUUGAUGUUUGUUUGUGAGCAGUUUUUAGCAACCAUAUUCCUUCCUUUUGUGCGUGGAUCCCGUCGAGUACGAC